AUUGAACGCUGGCGGCAGGCCUAACACAUGCAAGUCGAGCGAGCGGCGGACGGGUGAGUAAUGUAUGGGGAACUGCCCGAUAGAGGGGGAUAACUACUGGAAACGGUGGCUAAUACCGCAUACUAUCGGAUGAACCCAUAUGGGAUUAGCUAGUCGGUGGGGUAAAGGCUCACCUAGGCGACGAUCUCUAGCUGGUCGGAGAGGAUGAUCAUCCACACUGUGACUGAGACACUGCCCAGCAGCCUACGGUAGGCAGCAGUGGGGAAUAUUGCACAAUGGGGGCAAGCCUGAUGCAGCCCGGCUGCGUGUAUGAAGAAGGCCUUAGGGUUGUAAAGUACUUUCAGCGGGGAGGCGUUACUCGCAGAAGAAGCACCGGCUAACUCCGUGCCAGCAGCCGCGGUAAUAC
rnacentral:rRNA from 1 species